rnacentral:rRNA from 1 species
UACGUAGGGGGCAAGCGUUGUCCGGAUUUAUUGGGCGUAAAGAGCUCGUAGGCGGUUUGUCGCGUCUGCUGUGAAAACUCGGGGCUUAACCCCGGGCCUGCAGUGGGUACGGGCAGACUAGAGUGCGGUAGGGGAGACUGGAAUUCCUGGUGUAGCGGUGAAAUGCGCAGAUAUCAGGAGGAACACCAAUUGCGAAGGCAGCUCGCUGGGACGUGACUGACGCUGAGACGCGAAAGCGUGGGGAGCAAAUAGG